ACAGCCCCAUGCAGGUUCCAGGAGCAGCCUGGAGAAUUGGAAUGAGGGGACAGAGUUUCCCCAGCAGAGUUUUUUGGAAGCAGAGCUCCAAGGGGUCAUGUGGGAGGAAACAGCCAAGAAGCCAUCAAGAUAACAAAAGGGGAGAAACUCUCAGGGGCAGUUCUCCGCUUGAGACUGAGGAAACAGAAGUGAGACUAACAAUUGGGGAGUGCUCUCUGGCAGCCAUAUCAGAG